CCAGAAGAAGUCUCUUGUUCGUCACAACUUCCUGAAUCUGACGCUCGUCGUUGGUAAACACUGGCAGGAUGUCUGGCAUCAGGUUUGCCUGAAGAUCUCCACAUGACCAAGGCUACAGCUUGCCACUGGUAAUAAAUGGAUCUAGCAAGCAGCAUUUCAGCUCCAAAUAAUAAAGAACCUGGUUUCCCACCAAAUGAGGGCAAGUGGCCUAUAUAAGGGGUGGAAAGAUACUACUAGCAAGAAAGAGGAAGUUCUCUUUAUUUAGCAACCGCAAGCUGCAUCCGUGACAGUUCUCAGAAAUGUCACCAACUUAGAUUAAGAAAUGAUUUUAGGAUGCUUUCAAUUUAGAUAAGUUGUUAUUGUUGCAUAUGAUUGGUCUCAUCUUAAUCUUCCAAGUUGUUGCU